UACGUAGGGUGCAAGCGUUGUCCGGAAUUAUUGGGCGUAAAGGGCUCGUAGGCGGUCCAUCGCGUCGGGAGUGAAAAGCUGGGGCUUAACCCCAGUCCUGCUUCCGAUACGGGUGGACUAGAGGUAGGUAGGGGAGAACGGAAUUCCUGGUGUAGCGGUGAAAUGCGCAGAUAUCAGGAGGAACACCGGUGGCGAAGGCGGUUCUCUGGGCCUGUACUGACGCUGAGGAACGAAAGCGUGGGGAGCGAACAGG
rnacentral:rRNA from 1 species